AGGUUUUUUUUUUUCUCUUUUUUUGCAGGGAUGAGAUCUUGCUAUGUUGGCCAGGCUGGUCUUAAACUGCUGGGCUCAAGCAAUCUGCCUGCUUGGGUCUCCCAAAGUGCUGGGAUUAUAGGUGCGAAUCGCCAUGCCCAGCCCCAGAGUUUUCUUUUUUAUCCCUAAACUUGAGUCAAGUUCCAAUCUUUUCAGAAUCUUAUGCAUAUUUCUCUUUGCCCACGUGAACCCAGUGUGUGGUUAGGUCAUUGCAGGCAAGGAGCUGCGUGUAUCCCUUUUGCGUGGUUCGACCCAGCAUUCUAAAAUUCAGUUUCACCAAUGGGGACGAGCGGAAUGGCUCAAGCUGAUACGAUGUGAAAAUCUGCAGCUGUUUUCUCAGCAUGCUAGGUAGUAAAAUCAAGGAACUGCAGGUCGUAAGUGAAUUUCGAGGUCAUCUGUUUUCUCACAACUUACCAUGUAGGAGUUGAGGACCAGCAGCAGCCGCAGCAUCAGCUUGUUUGAAAUGAGCUCAGGCCUCAUCUCAAACCUGCUGAAUCAGACUCUCUAUUUUUACAAGAUCUCCCAAGUGAUUUGCAACACACCAUCUCCAACUAAGUGGUAAUAUAGCCGACACGAGCGUGUUCCGUCACAGCAACGCCCAACUUCACAAGGCAACUCAUUCCCAUUCCUUCUUCCUUCAAAAUAUCCUAACUACUACUUAAGAUUCCCUUGAAAACAUUGCCUUAAUAACUUACCUUGCUCAAAUGAAUCAUUCAGUGUCUAAAUGUAUUAGUGCAGAAUUUGUACCCAAGUGCGGUCUGAAGCUCUCCAUCCUUAUUGUUCACAGUCACUUCCGCCAGUGACCUGGUCCACAACAUUCUUCCUCUCUGGACCUCUCUUUUCUUCUCUCUCUACUUGUAUAGAUUUUAUCCACCCAAAAACCCUCAUGCCUGUGAUUUGCCAGUCACUGUAACAGGCUUUCCCUGUUUUCACUGGUUUUAUUAUUAUUUAGGCAUGGUAAGGCCAGCAUAUCAAGAGAUGAUUGCCAUUGAAAAGAUGGUUUGUAAAUUGCAGUUCCCAAGAAAGGGAGGCAUGCUGUGCUAUGACUAUGUAGGGAGAAGCACCGGGGUCAGUUAGGAGGCAGAGGGAGAGGGGAAUUCAAAGGCAAGAGCCUUUAAUGUGGUUUUCAUGGGGAGGAACAGGGAAGGAGUAAGCCGGCUUAGGAUUGGCUAGCAUGAAUAAUUUUAGCUGGCUCUGGGGCAUAGAGGCUGUCCCUAGUUGUCUGAUACCUGGCCCUGGGGUAAUGGGGAGAGUGGCCUGGAGUAUGAGAAUCCAGUAAGGAGGUAGCUGGAAGUCUGAGCUCUGGAUUGGUUGGUUUGCAUUUGAAAGCCAUGCUCAGGCCAAGUUAUUUAGGGUAUCUAGAAACUGACUAGCCCUGGGAGGGGAAUCCUUCUGGGAUUAGCAAGUUUCCAGACAUCAAAGCAUCAGAACUUGGAAAAUAAAAGACAUGGUUAAUACACUCCCUAAGAAUCUCAGGAGUACUUUGGUCUCAGUCUGCAGAAGGAACAUUUGUCUUUGUACUUUCCAUAGGAGGCAAGGAGAGGAAAAUGUGACAAUUCAAUCAUCCUGCAGAAGUGCUUCCAGCUUCCACCCUCAAUCAUAACGGUGGACGAGGGCAUCUUGGGGCAUGAAGGAAGAUGAAUGGGAGAAGCCAAAGCAACGACUGGAUGGCCUCGCUCCAGAAGCAGGGAAGUCAGAGCCCAGGCCUCACUACAUGGUGCUUCCUCAGACUCUGGGAAUACUGUCGGGAGCUGAACUUUGGAUACCCAGUGGGUUCAGGCCCCAGGCACCAGGGUCUUUGCGGUCCCGUCAUGAGGCACAGGGUGUGAAAGGAAAUGAUCAGUCCACUGAACUGCAGGCAUUGCCUGGCUGAGAAAUGGUGGCACAGGAAUGAGGAGAGGCUUCUUCCCUCUGGACAGCCAUUCUGUCAUCAUCGCCAAUUACCAACCAGAAACUGAACCUGCAUGGGACAAAAUGGGAAAGAUUUUGUUAUACACAAAUGUCAUAAUAGAGAGACGACUCAUCAUCAUUCAUUUAUUUAUUCAUUCAUUUAAUUUGAUCAAACAAAUUUUUUUUAGACUUACUGUGUGUCAAACAUUUUAGUGUACUCAAAAUUCAAACCACAGAAAAGUCCUGUGCUCUUUGUAAACUGUUCUGUAGAUACUCUGAUAUGAUUUUUUUUAGUGACUGCUCUUCAAUCUUUUUAAUUUCCUCCGUUGACAUUACCAGGGCGUGUAUGUAUGUGUGGUUGGUUGGGGGUGGGUGUGUAUUAAUUCCCAUGUCUUCCCAAACAGGGAUUCAUUAAUUCUUCAUUCUAUACUUAAUUCUCUCAUAUGUGGCAUCUGUGAAAUAAGUGUGGCAAUUUGUUAAUUAAAUAUUGACUCCUGGAACAUUUUAAGCACUGACAAUUUUAGUCAGAAACAGACACUGCUCUUUUCUUGCCCCGGAGCAAUGAUAACAUACAUUCCAUUGUUGUUACCUGUUUUUAUAAAAUGUGUGAAAGGAUUUUUUAUUCACAACUUUGCCUAUGACCACUUGAGUUCAUGUGAAUGAUAUUUUCACGUGCCCUGAGUUUUUACUAAGCCAUUCUAUACUGCUGGAUUUAAACAUCUUCAGAUGAAGCAGAGUUGGUGUGUUAUUAUUUAUUGCAAACUUGCGCCUCACUUGUUUUUCUGGCUCACUGCCUCUAGCACUCCAAUUCCAAAAAUUCUUGGACUCUCCCUGGUUCUACAAUCCAGUGCCUUCACCACGAUUCACUGUUCUUCCCUCCACUCCGUUCCUUUCUUCCAUCUUCACGGGGCUUAGAGGUCCUGGUCCAUUAUUGUAACCCCUCCUUGUGUAGAGCGACAACUCCCUCCCAACACACAUUUCCUUCCUCUAAUUUAUUUGAAAAAAAAUAAUCCUCAAUUCUGAUUACUCCAGCUCUCUGUUUGCUCUAUGCCUGCACCUGUGCUAUGGCUGGAAAAAAAAAAAAAAGAGCAAAACACAGCUAUGCUGACAUAUCUCACUCUAAAUUCAUGACCACAUGGGCCCAUGGCACUGCCAAGGGAAGUCCACUACAUUUACAGAAUCUCCUUCUCUUAUUUCUCUAGGCAAGCAUUUAAUAUCUUCUCCUUUGACAAACUUUCAGUAUCUACUUAUCUGCCCUUAUUCUUGGCUAGUAGCUUUGGUUCCUAUUUCCCUUAAAAAAAUAAACAUGAUAAGAAGAAAACUACAUAGUCCCAAGCAUAUCUACUACCCUAUUUGUCCCCAUGCUCCAGUAUACUCAUAUUCCUCCAGUUAGUCAAGAUAUAAACUAUCUGGACUCCUUUCUGAGGACAGCCCUUCACUUAUCGCUGGAUUCGAUCCUCUUCAUCUGUAUUCAAGAAUAUGGCUACCAAGAAAAACAAUAUCACUACCCCAUUCUCUCCUCUGCCUUCUGCAUCUGCAGUUCUCACUCCCUCUACGUGUUGUUUCACAUCAGCCUAUAGACUUGCUGUGUCUCCCACUUCGAAAGAAAAGGAAAAAACCAUCUCUUGAUCUCACAUUCUUCUCCCCCUCCCUUCACUACUUCUCUUCACCCAUUAAUUUUCAUCCUCAGCUCCCAUUUAUUCAUGAACCCUCCAAUUUUUUUUUGCCCCCAUAUCACCGAAAAAGUUCUUGUCAUGAUCAACAAUUCGUAAAAUCCAAUGAUCAGCUCCCAAUUCUUUUUUUUUUUUUUUUUUUUGAGGCGGAGUUUCGCUCUUGUUACCCAGGCUGGAGUGCAAUGGCACGAUCUCGGCUCACCGCAACCUCCGCCUCCUGGGUUCAGGCAAUUCUCCUGCCUCAGCCUCCCGAGUAGCUGGGAUCACAGGCACGCGCCACCAUGCCCAGCUAAUUUUUUGUAUCUUUAGUAGAGACGGGGUUUCACCAUGUUGACCGGGAUGGUCUCGAUCUCUUGACCUCGUGAUCCACCCGCCUCGGCCUCCCAAAGUGCUGGGAUUACAGG